GACGAACGCUGGCGGCGUGCUUAACACAUGCAAGUCGAACGGAAAGGCCCCCACCUUGGUGGGGGUGCUCGAGUGGCGAACGGGUGAGUAACACGUGGGUGAUCUGCCCUGUACUUCGGGAUAAGCUUGGGAAACUGGGUCUAAUACCGGAUAGGACCAUGGUUUAGUGUCUCAUGGUGGAAAAAUUAUUGUUUUGGUGCAGGAUGAGCUCGCGGCCUAUCAGCUUGUUGGUGGGGUAAUGGCCUACCAAGGCGUCGACGGGUAGCCGGCCUGAGAGGGUGGACGGCCACAUUGGGACUGAGAUACGGCCCAGACUACUACGGGAGGCAGCAGUGGGGAAUAUUGCACAAUGGGCGCAAGCCUGAUGCAGCGACGCCGCGUGGGGGAUGACGGCCUUCGGGUUGUAAACUCCUUUCGUUAGGGACGAAGCCACACCUUUUUUGGGUGUGGUGACGGUACCUUUGUUAAGAAGCACCGGCUAACUACGUG
rnacentral:rRNA from 1 species